rnacentral:misc_RNA from 1 species
GCCCACACCACUUUCCGCUCGCUAUAAAAAAAGUUCCGCACACCCCUCAGCAGCUCCAAGAACAGAGCAGUACUGCAGGAGAGCGAGUGAGCUGUCCAAAGCGUCCGGCCAAACCCGCGUGUGUCCACCACUCCUCCUGCACAAGCACCGCCACAAUGCGGCCGCACACCCUGGCGCUGCUCCUGCUCCUGCUGGCCACGCCGGCGGCGACGCGUCUGGCAUCGGCCGCCUGCGCGGGCGAGAAGUUCCCCGCGGGGCGGGCGUACGCGGCGUGCGAGGACCUCCCGAAGCUGGGCGCGUCGCUGCACUGGACGUACGACGCGGCAAAGAGCUCCCUGUCCGUGGCGUUCGUGGCGGCGCCGGCGGCGGCCGGCGGGUGGGUGGCGUGGGGGCUGAACCCGACGGGCGAGGGCAUGGCCGGCGCGCAGGCGCUGGUGGCGCUGGCGGGGUCCGGGUCCGGCUCCGCGGCGCCCACCGUGCGGACGUACAACAUCACGGGGUACGUCCCGCUGGGGAACGUCUCGACGCCGCUGGACUUCCCGGCCACCGACCUCGCCGCGGACGCCGCAGCCGGGGGCAGGAUCCGGGUGUACGGCACGCUGCAGCUGCGCGAGGGGAUGAGGGCCGUGAACCAGGUGUGGCAGGUCGGCGCGUCAUCCACCGCCGGCGCCCCCGACAAGCACGCGUUCCAGCCGGACAACCUCGGCGCCAAGAGCAAGCUCGUCCUCGCCGGCAAGUCCCCCGCGGCGGCGUCCCCGUCGCCCGCCCCCGCGCCUCAUGCGUCCGGCGGCGGCGCGGCGUCGUCCAAGUCCCCCAACGCCGCCGCGGCCGCGGCCGGCGUGGCCGCGCCGGUAGCCCUCGUGCUCGCGCUGGUGGGAUUCUUGGCGACGGUAUGAUGACGCGUCCACGGUGGCUGGAUGGGUGGGCGGUGAGCAGGGGAGGAAGUAUUAUUGCACUGUUUUCUUUAUUUUUGGUUCGUUUUUCAGGUUUGUUUUAGGCUGUGAAAUAAUAAUAAAAACGGUUGGCUGGCUGCACUUGUUGUUGAGCUGCUGUUUGGUAGGAAUAUACAGUGAUUUAUUACGGCAGUGGACGUGAUGAGCUCUCUCUCUCUCUCUCUGUUUCUGAUGAAUCUCUGAAAACGGCCUUCUGCUUGCUAUUGCAAUGAACCAAGCAAAGCACCACGAGAAAAAGAAAAACAUGGUGCUCAUUAUUGAUGGAAUGAAACUCUAACCUUAG